UACGUAGGAGGCGAGCGUUGUCCGGAAUCACUGGGUGUAAAGCGCACGUAGGCGGACUCUUAAGUCGGUGGUGAAAUCCUGGAGCUCAACUCCAGAACUGCCUUCGAUACUGAGAGUCUCGAGUCCGAGAGAGGUGAGUGGAACUGCGAGUGUAGAGGUGAAAUUCGUAGAUAUUCGCAAGAACACCAGUGGCGAAGGCGGCUCACUGGCUCGGUACUGACGCUGAGGUGCGAAAGCGUGGGGAGCAAACAGG
rnacentral:rRNA from 1 species